CUCGUGGGCUCGGUAGCUUGACGGGUACGGGGAUUAGGGUUCGAUUCCGGAGAGGGAGCCUGAGAAACGGCUACCACAUCUAAGGAAGGCAGCAGGCGCGCAAAUUACCCAAUCCUAAUACAGGGAGGUAGUGACAAGAAAUAACAAUACAGAACCUUACGGUUUUGUAAUUGGAAUGAGUUAAGUAUAAACCCCUUAACAAGUAUCAAUUGGAGGGCAAGUCUGGUGCCAGCAGCCGCGGUAAUUCCAGCUCCAAUAGCGUAUAUUAAAGUUGUUGCAGUUAAAAAGCUCGUAGUUAAUCUUCUGUUAAUUUUUAUAUAUAAUAUCACGAUAUUUAUAUAAUAUUAACAUAAUUCAUAUUACUUUUUAGUAUAUGAAACUUUACUUUGAGAAAAUUAGAGUGCUUAAAGCAGGCUAUUGCCUUGAAUACUCCAGCAUGGAAUAAUAUUAAGGAUUUUUAUUCUUCUUAUUGGUUCUAGAAUAAAAAUGAUGAUUAAUAGGGACAGUUGGGGGCAUUUGUAUUUAACAGUCAGAGGUGAAAUUCUUAGAA
rnacentral:rRNA from 1 species